rnacentral:rRNA from 1 species
CGACCUGAGUUCAGGCA